UACGAAGGGGGCUAGCGUUGCUCGGAAUGACUGGGCGUAAAGGGGGCGUAGGCGGGUCUGUAAGGCAGGGGGGAAAUCCUGGAGCUCAACUCCAGAACUGCCUUUGAUACUGAAGAUCUUGAGUUCGGGAGAGGUGAGUGGAACUGCGAGUGUAGAGGUGAAAUUCGUAGAUAUUCGCAAGAACACCAGUGGCGAAGGCGGCUCACUGGCCCGAUACUGACGCUGAGGCACGAAAGCGUGGGGAGCAAACAGG
rnacentral:rRNA from 1 species